rnacentral:rRNA from 1 species
AACGGCCGUACCAUGCUGAAUAUACCGGUUCUCGUUAGAUCACCGAAGUCAAGCAUCAUUGGGCGCGGUCAGUACUUAGGAGGGUGACCACCUGGGAACACUGCGUGCCGUU